rnacentral:tRNA from 1 species
GCGGGGUUAGUUUAGUGGUAAAACUACAGCCUUCCAAGCUGUUAAUGAGGGUUCGAUUCCCUCACCCCGCU